AACAGGGGUGCUUGUGAACACAGGCUGAGACUGAUACCAGAUUCGUAUCUGACCCUUUAACCUGAACUGGGUAAUGCCAGCGUAGGAAGUAUA
rnacentral:ncRNA from 1 species